rnacentral:lncRNA from 1 species
AAGAAAAACACUACAUAACAGAAAAGUUAAUAAAAAAAAUGUUGUACAACAAAGCUUUUGUCCGCACUAGGUGCAAAGAAAGGCUCGGUAUCUGUGGUCUAAUUGAGACAAAAACACAGGGUGUUCUUCGGCUUUGUUAUUUUUUUUUUUAAAGUAGGUGCAAAUGGAGAUUCGGACACCCUACUCCACUACAUUACAGAAAAGUUAAUAAAAAAUGUUGAACGACAAAACUUUUAUCAGCACAAGGUAAAAAGGGAAGCUGGGUAGCUUAUGUUUACUUGAGAAAAAAUCCAGGGUGUUCUCCGGCC